AUACGUAGGUGGCGAAGCGUUGUCCGGAUUUAUUGGGCGUAAAGCGAGUGCAGGCGGUCUUUUAAGUCUGAUGUGAAAAGCCUUCGGCUUAACCGAAGAAGGGCAUCGGAAACUGGGAGACUUGAGUGCAGAAGAGGAGGGUGGAACUCCAUGUGUAGCGGUGAAAUGCGUAGAUAUAUGGAAGAACACCAGUGGCGAAGGCGGCUCUCUGGUCUGUAACUGACGCUGAGGCUCGAAAGCGUGGGUAGC
rnacentral:rRNA from 1 species